rnacentral:rRNA from 1 species
ACACGACUACAUUAGAUACCCCCGUAGUCCUAGCCGUAAACGAUACUCGCUAGGUGUCGGCCACGGUGCGACCGUUGUCGGUGCCGUAGGGAAGCCGUGAAGCGAGCCACCUGGGAAGUACGGCCGCAAGGCUGAAACUUAAAGGAAUUGGCGGGGAGCACCACAACGGGUGGAGCCUGCGGUUUAAUUGGACUCAACGCCGGGAAGCUCACCGGAUAAGACAGCGGAAUGAUUGCCGGGCUGAAGACCCUGCAUGACCAGCUG